UACGUAGGGUGCGAGCGUUGCCCGGAUUUAUUGGGCGUAAAGGGCGCGUAGGCGGCUCGGCACGUCCGUUGUGAAAUCGCCCGGCUCAACUGGGCGGGGUCAGCGGAUACGGUCGAGCUUGAGCAAGCUAGGGGGCAAUGGAAUUCCCGGUGUAGUGGUGGAAUGCGUAGAUAUCAGGAGGAACACCAAUAGCGAAGGCAGCUCGCUGGGACGGUACUGACGCUGAGGCGCGAAAGCGUGGGGAGCGAACAGG
rnacentral:rRNA from 1 species